UCUCCGUUGGUGAACCAGCGGAGGGAUCAUUACAGGACUCGCAAGACUCCUACAACCCUGUGAACUUAACUAUAAGCACGUUGCUUCGGCGGGUGUCUCGGAGGGGGUUCUCCCUCCCCGAGACGCUAAACCCGCCGGCAGCCUACUAUACUCUGUCUCUUUGCGUUGGCAUCUCGGGUACAAUCAAACAAGUUAAAACUUUCAACAACGGAUCUCUUGGUUCUG
rnacentral:misc_RNA from 1 species